ensembl:snRNA U6 U6 spliceosomal RNA
GUAUGAGCUACGGCAGCACAUAUACUUAAAUUGGAUCAAUACAGAGUAGAUUAGCAUGGCCCCUGCAAAAGGAUGACACGCAAAUCCAUGAGGCACAGGUUC